CGCAAUCUUCGGAUUAGUGGCGCACGGGUGCGUAACGCGUGGGAAAUCUACCCUUAGGUUCGGAAUAACUCAGAAAAAUUUGAGCUAAUACCGGAUAAUGUCUUCGGACCAAAGUAUUUAUCGCCUUUGGAUGAGCCCGCGUUAGAUUAGGUAGUUGGUAGGGUAAAAGCCUACCAAGCCGACGAUCUAUAGCUGGUCUGAGAGGAUGAUCAGCCACACUGGGACUGAGACACGGCCCAGACUCCUACGGGAGGCAGCAGUGGGGAAUAUUGGACAAUGGGCGAAAGCCUGAUCCAGCAAUGCCGCGUGAGUGAUGAAGGCCUUAGGGUCGAAAGCUCUUUUACCAGGGAUGAUAAUGAC
rnacentral:rRNA from 1 species